rnacentral:rRNA from 1 species
AACGAACGCUGGCGGCAGGCCUAACACAUGCAAGUCGAACGCUCCGCAAGGAGAGUGGCAGACGGGUGAGUAACACGUGGGAAUCUUCCUAUCGGUACGGAAUAGCUCAGGGAAACUUGAGAUCAUACCGCAUACGCCCUUCGGGGGAAAGAUUUAUCGCCGAUAGAUGAGCUCGCGUCUGAUUAGCUAGUUGGUGGGGUAAUGGCCCACCAAGGCGACGAUCAGUAGCUGGUCUGAGAGGAUGACCAGCCACACUGGGACUGAGACACGGCCCAGACUCCUACGGGAGGCAGCAGUGGGGAAUAUUGGACAAUGGGCGCAAGCCUGAUCCAGCCAUGCCGCGUGAGUGACGAAGGUCUUCGGAUUGUAAAGCUCUUUUGCCAGGGACGAUAAUGACGGUACCUGGAGAAUAAGCCCCGGCUAACUUCGUGCCAGCAGCCGCAGUAAUAC